rnacentral:tRNA from 1 species
GCCGUCUUAGCUCAGUUGGGAGAGCGUGCGACUGAAGUUCGCAAGGUCACUAGUUCAAUCCUGGUAGACGGCA